rnacentral:rRNA from 1 species
CGGGUGAGUAACACGUUGGAAUAACCUGCCGGGGAGUGGGGGAUAACAUCUCGAAAGGGGUGCUAAUACCGCAUGACACCCUAGUUUGAAAGACCGGGGUUGAAAGGAGCGAUUCGCUCUCCGAGGGGUCCGCGCCUGAUUAGCUAGUAGGUGGGUAAGAGCCCACCUAGGCGACGAUCAGUAGCCGUCCUGAGAGGGAGCACGGCCACACUGGAACUGAGACACGGUCCAGACUCCUACGGGAGGCAGCAGU